rnacentral:rRNA from 1 species
GGAACGAACGCUGGCGGCACGCCUAAUACAUGCAAGUCGAACGAACUCUUCGGAGUUAGUGGCGCACGGGUGCGUAACGCGUGGGAAUCUGCCCCUUGGUUCGGAAUAACAGUUGGAAACGACUGCUAAUACCGGAUGAUGACGAAAGUCCAAAGAUUUAUCGCCAAGGGAUGAGCCCGCGUAGGAUUAGC